rnacentral:siRNA from 1 species
UGGAGUUCCUCUUCAUACCCCA